GACGAACCGUCCAAACGUUAUUCGGAAUUACUGGGCUUAAAGGGUGCGUAGGCGGCGCGGAAAGUCGGGUGUGAAAUCCCUCGGCUCAACCGAGGAACGGCGCUCGAAACUACCGUGCUCGAGGAAGACAGAGGUGAGCGGAACUCAGGGUGGAGCGGUGAAAUGCGUUGAUAUCCUGAGGAACACCGGUGGCGAAAGCGGCUCACUGGGUCUUUUCUGACGCUGAGGCACGAAAGCUAGGGGAGCGAACGGG
rnacentral:rRNA from 1 species